AGAUGAUAUGCAUAGUACUCCC
rnacentral:miRNA from 1 species